rnacentral:rRNA from 1 species
GACGAACGCUGGCGGCGUGCUUAACACAUGCAAGUCGAACGGUAAGGCCCUUCGGGGUACACGAGUGGCGAACGGGUGAGUAACACGUGGGUGAUCUGCCCUGCACUUCGGGAUAAGCCUGGGAAACUGGGUCUAAUACCGGAUAGGACCACUGCCUGCAUGGGUGGUGGUGGAAAGCUUUUGCGGUGUGGGAUGGGCCCGCGGCCUAUCAGCUUGUUGGUGGGGUGAUGGCCUACCAAGGCGACGACGGGUAGCCGGCCUGAGAGGGUGACCGGCCACACUGGGACUGAGAUACGGCCCAGACUCCUACGGGAGGCAGCAGUGGGGAAUAUUGCACAAUAGGCGCAAGCCUGAUGCAGCGACGCCGCGUGAGGGGUGACGGCCUUCGGGUUGUAAACCUCUUUCAGCACCGACGAAGCGCAAGUGACGGUAGGUGCAGAAGAAGGACCGGCCAACUACGUGCCAGCCGCCGCAGUAA